rnacentral:rRNA from 1 species
AUUCCGGUUGAUCCUGCCGGAGGCCAUUGCUAUUGGGAUCCGAUUUAGCCAUGCUAGUCGCACGAGUUCAGACUCGUGGCGAAUAGCUCAGUAACACGUGGCCAAACUACCCUUCGGAACACAAUACCCUCGGGAAACUGAGGCUAAUAGUGUAUACCACAUCACCACUGGAAUGAGUGAUGUGCCAAACGCUCCGGCGCCGAAGGAUGUGGCUGCGGCCGAUUAGGUAGACGGUGGGGUAACGGCCCACCGUGCCAAUAAUCGGUAUGGGUCAUGAGAGUGAGAACCCAGAGACGGAAUCUGAGACAAGAUUCCGGGCCCUACGGGGCGCAGCAGGCGCGAAACCUUUACACUGCACGACAGUGCGAUAGGGGGAUCCCAAGUGCACAGGCAUAGCGCCUGUGCUUUUCGGUACCGUAAGGUGGUACCAGAAUAAGGGCUGGGCAAGACCGGUGC